rnacentral:tRNA from 1 species
GCGGGCGUAGCUCAGCUGGUUAGAGCGCCGGCCUGUCACGCCGGAGGCCGCGGGUUCAAGUCCCGUCGCUCGCGCCA